AGCAGAAAGGUAGUGUGAAUGAAUAUUAAGAAAGGUUAAGGAUUUGAAGGCUCUAAUGCUUUAAAAGAAUCCAGAUUUGACUAAUCAUUACUUUCUCUCUAGUUUUAUUGGUCGGUUAAAGAAAGAAAUCAGAUCUAUGGUAAAAGUGUUGAAUCUUGGGAGUUUGGAAGAAGCUUUUGAGAAAGCGAUGUUGCAUGAAAUAUCUCUAGAGGCUUUAUUCAAGAGCACCAAAAAUGAUCAUAAGUCAUAUUAUAAUGUUCUUGGGCCUAAGUCUCCCAACAUCACUUCUCUUAAAAGCAACAGUGAUGUAGACAAC
rnacentral:lncRNA from 1 species